UAGCCAGAGGCUUUACUGACCUUGGGAUACGUCUGUCCUCAGAAGGCUGAGGCAGGAGAAUCGAUUGAACCCAGGAGGCAGAGGUUGCAAUGAGCUAAGAUCACACCACUGCACUCCAGCCUGGCAACAAAGCGAGACUCUGCCUCAAAAAAAUAAAAGAUGUCGUUUCUGGGCCUACCACCUCUGAGAUCGGACCUUAACAUCCUCAAGGAACAGGACUGUGUCUUAUCUUCAUAUUCCAUGUGCAUGUAGUUGAUGAAUAACUGAAGGCAGCUUCUCUGAGCCUGUUUCCUCAACUAUAAAAUGGAAAGAGUAGCUAUAUCACCAAUAUAGUGAAGAAAGCGCCCAGC